UGGGGAAUAUUGGACAAUGGGCGCAAGCCUGAUCCAGCCAUGCCGCGUGAGUGAAGAAGGCCUUAGGGUUGUAAAACUCUUUCGCCGGGGAAGAUAAUGACGGUACCCGGAGAAGAAGCUCCGGCUAACUUCGUGCCAGCAGCCGCGGUAAUACGAAGGGAGCUAGCGUUGUUCGGAAUUACUGGGCGUAAAGCGCACGUAGGCGGACUUGUCAGUCAGGGGUGAAAUCCCAAGGCUCAACCUUGGAACUGCCUCCGAUACAGCAAGCCUAGAGAUCGGGAGAGGUGAGUGGAAUUCCUAGUGUAGAGGUGAAAUUCGUAGAUAUUAGGAAGAACACCAGUGGCGAAGGCGGCUCACCGGCCCGAUACUGACGCUGAGGUGCGAAAGCGUGGGGAGCAAACAGGAUUAGAUACCCGGGUAGUCCCUGAGCGGGCUGGCAAGGCGCAU
rnacentral:rRNA from 1 species